UGUAUUCUUAGGUGUGUCAUCUA
rnacentral:siRNA from 1 species